rnacentral:lncRNA from 1 species
UUAUCUUUCCUCUCAAAGAAACUUGGGGCUUUUCUCUAACACCAAUCUAUUGCCGCAAGGCUCUAGUGAGGAUGUUGAUGUGGCUAGAGUUGGACGUUAGUCGAGAUCUUCGAUGCCAUAGGGUACAUGCAAAAAAAAAUUCACACUCAUCAGAGAUGUUCGGAUGGAGGACCCUCCAAUGCUUAAGUUAGCCGAAACUUUAAGAAU